ensembl:snRNA U6 U6 spliceosomal RNA
GUGCUGGCUGUAGCAGUACAUAUACUCAAAUUGGAAUGAUACAGAUGAUUAGCCUGGCCCCUAGACAAAUAUAUGAAAAAAUAAAACUGUAAAGAUAUCU